rnacentral:rRNA from 1 species
AUUGAACGCUGGCGGCAUGCCUUACACAUGCAAGUCGAACGGCAGCGGGGGAGAAGCUUGCUUUUCCUGCCGGCGAGUGGCGAACGGGUGAGUAAUACAUCGGAACGUGCCCUGUAGUGGGGGAUAACUAGUCGAAAGAUUAGCUAAUACCGCAUACGACCUGAGGGUGAAAGCGGGGGACCGCAAGGCCUCAUGCUAUAGGAGCGGCCGAUGUCUGAUUAGCUAGUUGGUGGGGUAAAGGCCUACCAAGGCGACGAUCAGUAGCUGGUCUGGGAGGACGAUCAGCCACACUGGGAAUGAGACACGGCCCAGACUCCUACGGGAGGCAGCAGUGGGGAAUUUUGGACAAUGGGCGAAAGCCUGAUCCGGCAAUGCCGCGUGUGUGAAGAAGGCCUUCGGGUUGUAAAGCACUUUUGUCCGGAAAGAAAUGGCUCUGGUUAAUACCUGGGGUCGAUGACGGUACCGGAAGAAUAAGGACCGGCUAACUACGUGCCAGCCGCCGCCGUAA